rnacentral:tRNA from 1 species
CAAGUCCUGUAGUGCGUAGCAUGCCGAAUUGCAAAUUCGGAGUCGCCAUUAAGAAGUGGCCCGGACU